AUGCUCAGCAUUUCCAGGUUACCUGAAGAAAAUUGUCUUUUUGGAGUCCUAUUCUUGGCUGGAAGAUGUGGGGGAAAUGGUAAAUAUUGUGAAAAAUACUGGAUCUUACAUAUCUGUGAGCUGUCCCAGCCUUCCUCCAGCUACAAUUGCUUCUGCCUGCACAUAAGACAAUUAAUUUACAGGCAUAUGGAACAGAUCAUCUGCAUUUCAGGAUACUUCUGUAAGGAAAUUGGAAAGGUUCCUGAGACAGUUGAGGAGGCUGGGCACUUGGGCUCUGGCGGGGCAUUGAAAGGCUGGAGAAUCUUACCUAUGAAGAGAGACUGAGGGAGUUGGGGUUGUUCAGCCUGGAGAAAAGAAGGCUUGGAGGGAGGGACUUUAGCCUUUCAGUACCUAAAGGGGGCUAGAAGAGAGUUGGAGAGGGACUUUUAACAAGGGCAGGUAGUGUUAUGACAUGGGGGGAUGGCUUCAAACUGAAAGAGGGUACAUUUAUUGGACAUAAAGACUUUUUUUUUUUUUAAUGAGGGGAGUGAGGCACAAGAACAGAUUGCCCAGAGAAGCUUCUAGAGAACACAUCCCUAGGAGUGUUAAAGGCCAAGCUGGAUGGAGCUUUGAGCAACUUGGGCUAGUGGAAGUUGUCCAUGCCCAUGGCAGGUAGGUUGGAACAAGGUGAUCUUUAAGGUUCCUUCCAACCCAAACCAUUCUAUGAUUCUUCUAGGUGGAUGUGAAUCCACUGUAGCAUUUAUGCUGUUAGGUAAGCUUUUUAUAAACUGGAACUCUAAAGGUUGCUAUGAGGAAGCAAGUUUAUAUAUAUUGAAACCAGGUAUCAAUUUGGAAAGCAGUAUAGCAUGUAAGACCUCAGUCCAGUUUUUGUGCAUUCAUUCAUGUUGAUGGGAAUGUUUGCUAUGUGAGAGUUGUUUCAUCAAAUCCUUCCUGCCAAAGCACAAGCCUCACCUAUUUCCUAUUGUGAUGAAAAUGGUGUCAAUCCCCUGUGAACAGAAGAGAUCCCUCAUUGCCUUAAUUCAACUGCAGAAUUCUCAAACAGCAGCAAGCUUCCAGCAUAUGCAGCUGCUGCUGCUGCUACAGUCUGUCACCAGCUUAGUCAAUCAUCCAUUAUUUAUUUCCAAACUGUAUGUAAAGCUCUGCAGCACAGCCUUUUAUGUCCAUAUACAGGGGAAAGAAGAGAAAGAACUUCUGAAAGGCCAGGAGAACAAAAACAGAGAAGCCUCUGAAAUCCUUUGUAGGGGAAAUUUUCUUAUGUAGUUGUAUCCAAGGAAUAGAGGAAAGGGAAAUAAAAUCACAUUUAACAACA
rnacentral:lncRNA from 1 species